rnacentral:misc_RNA from 1 species
GGAAGGAUCAUUACUGAGUAACGUGGUCUUUUUUCAUGACCCGCUACCCGCCCUUUGUCAUAUGUUGGACGAGGUCGUCUUUAGGGGCGGCCUCCGACCCCACUUCCCGGGAGGCGUUGCGCCUCAUCAAAGUCUAGGCCUUGAUGAGGAUGGGACCGCCCGGGGUCUUUUUCAAACCCUUUGUGAGAAAUCUGAAGUCUGAAGCGAAAGCUUAAAAAUAAAUUGAAGCAAAACUUUCAACAACGGAUCUCUUGGCUCUGGCAACGAUGAAGAACGCAGCGAAACGCGAAAGGUAAUGCGAAUUGCAGAAUCAGUGAGUCAUCGAAUCUUUGAACGCACAUUGCGCCCUCUGGUAUUCCGGAGGGCACGCCUGUUCGAGCGCCAUUACACCCUCCAAGCUCUGCUUGAUGUUGGACGCUGUGUUUUCUCUUUUUGGGGGACACACGUCUGGAACUUGUAGGCGUCCGUCACUGUCGAGACACCGCGAGCGUAGCAAGACUUUUAGUCAUUUUCGCUCUGUUGGAACUCCAGCGGACUGCCCUUAUGAUUUUAGGGGGGUUAACCCUCUAAAUUCAAAAUCUCAAGAGUUUGGCCUCGGAUCAGGCGGGGAUACCCGCUGAACUUAAGCAUAUCAAUAAGCGGAGGAAAAGAAACCAACAGGGAUUGCCCCAGUAACGGCGAGUGAAGCGGCAACAGCUCAAAUUUGAAAUCUGGCGUCUUAGGCGUCCGAGUUGUAAUUUGCAGAGGGAGUCUCGGAUUUAGGAUCGGCCCAAGUGCCUUGGAACAGGAUACCAAAGAGGGUGAGAGUCCCGUAUCCGGCUGAUACCGACGUCCGUGUGAGACCCCUUCGACGAGUCGAGUUGUUUGGGAAUGCAGCUCUAAAUGGGUGGUAAAUUCCAUCUAAAGCUAAAUACUGGCCAGAGACCGAUAGCGCACAAGUAGAGUGAUCGAAAGAUGAAAAGCACUUUGAAAAGAGAGUCAAACAGUACGUGAAAUUGUUGAAAGGGAAGCGUAUGUGGGCAGACUUGACCGCGGGAUUCAGCUCGUCUUCUGGCGGGUGUACUUUCUCGUGGGCAGGCCAGCAUCGGUUUCGGGGGUAAGACAAAGGCGACAGGAAUGUGGCUCCCUUCGGGGCGUGUUAUAGCCUGUCGUGCAAUGUUACCACCUGGGACCGAGGACCGCGUUUUUACGAGGAUGCUGGCGUAAUGGCCUCAUACGGCCCGUCUUGAAACACGGACCAAGGAGUCUAACAUCUAUGCGAGUGUUUGGGUGUCAAGCCCGGGCGCGUAAUGAAAGUGAACGGAGGUGGGAGUCUUCGGACGCACCAUCGACCGAUCCCGAUGUCUUCGGAGGGAUUUGAGUACGAGCAUAGCUGUUGGGACCCGAAAGAUGGUGAACUAUGCGUGAAUAGGGUGAAGCCAGAGGAAACUCUGGUGGAGGCUCGCAGCGGUUCUGACGUGCAAAUCGAUCGUCAAAUUUGCGUAUAGGGGCGAAAGACUAAUCGAACCAUCUAGUAGCUGGUUCCUGC